AUGUUUUUCUCUUGUUAACCUGUCUCUUGUUAUAGCUAUGUUGGCUGUAACCCUUAUGAUGGGGAGGAAGGCAUCCCACCUUACCACCCCUACAGUGGUUAUGCUGCUCAUGACAGAAUGCAACUUAUCUAAAGCUUGAACUCAAAACUUGACAAUCUUAAGGCCUUUUUGUGGCAAUGAAAACAUCUGAAUGCCUUGCAAUUCUCUUUUUUAGAAAGAAAUGAUAACCCUGGGCUUUAGUUUGCUCUCUUCACUGAUACACUUCAAAAGGCCUCAAGUGGGAAUUCCAUGAAGGGGACACAAAGGUACGGGCCGGAAGACUGCACACAGCAGAGUCACACAGCACCUGCCACAAGAGCAUGGCAAACUUUUCGGACAAUCAUCCUCCUGGCACUGGAACUAGUGGAGUAAUGAUCAUUGCACUGUUAAAGAUCCCUAAAAAGAUCUGAAAGGAGUCUUCAGAUAAAGGAAGGAGCUUUCUUUUGUCUGCCA
rnacentral:lncRNA from 1 species